rnacentral:rRNA from 1 species
GACGAACGCUGGCGGCGUGCUUAACACAUGCAAGUCGAACGGUGAAGCGCCUUCCUUUUUGGUGGGUGUGGAUGAGUGGCGAACGGGUGAGUAACACGUGAGUAACCUGCCCCCUUCUUCUGGAUAACCGCAUGAAAGUGUGGCUAAUACGGGAUAUUCUGGGUCUGUCGCAUGAUGGGUCUGGGAAAGAUAUUGUUUCGGUGGGGGAUGGGCUCGCGGCCUAUCAGCUUGUUGGUGGGGUGAUGGCCUACCAAGGCGGUGACGGGUAGCCGGCCUGAGAGGGUGGACGGUCACACUGGGACUGAGACACGGCCCAGACGCCUACGGGAGGCAGCAGUGGGGAAUAUUGCACAAUGGGCGCAAGCCUGAUGCAGCGACGCCGCGUGAGGGAUGGAGGCCUUCGGGUUGUGAACCUCUUUCGCCAGUGAAGCAGGCCUGCCUCGUUUGUGGGUGGGUUGACGGUAGCGGGAUAGAAGCGCCGGCUAACUACGUG